GACGAACCGUGCGAACGUUGUUCGGAUUCACUGGGCUUAAAGGGCGCGUAGGCGGGCGGUCAAGUCAGGGGUGAAAUCUUUCGGCUCAACCGGAAAAGUGCCUUGAUACUGGCCGUCUCGAGGGAGGUAGGGGCAUGCGGAACUUCCGGUGGGAGCGGUGAAAUGCGUAGAUAUCGGGAAGGAACGCCGGUGGCGAAAGCGGCGUGCUGGACCUCUUCUGACGCUGAGGCGCGAAAGCCAGGGGAGCAAACGGG
rnacentral:rRNA from 1 species